GCAAUCCUUCGGGGCAGGGUGAAAUUCCCUACCGACGGUGAUGGCUCAUUGGACGCUCGUUCGAUGAAGCACAAGUCCGUGACCCGCAGCGCUUACGUAAGCAUGCGGCUGAGCCGGUGAGAUUCCGGGACCGACAGUAUAGUCUGGAUGGGAGAAGGAAAAC
rfam:Paenibacillus sp. oral taxon 786 str. D14 genomic scaffold supercont1.14, whole genome shotgun sequence.